rnacentral:misc_RNA from 1 species
CGCUAACAAAAAAAAAAAGUAAAAUACAAGUUAAGUGAUGAAUUGAGAGUGGAAAUCCCAGAAGAACUACUUUUCUUAAACAAGCAAGCAUUAGUGUAAAUUCUGUGAAGGAAAAAGGAAAUUUGACUUAAAAAACCAAUUCAAAUGCCCAUCUGCAUGUCACAAGUAUGGAGAAGAAUUAAAUUCAAAAGGGAAAAUCAAUGAUAGAAGACACAGUUAAAAGCCCUGUUUUAUUUCCAUCUGGUAUCAUGUGAAGCAAUCAAGGAAACAACAAUACAUUACAUAGCAAAAGUAACUCAUACUCGCUUAUAGCAAAAACCUUUUUCCAGAAACACAAUCUGCAAAAACAGAUCAUUAAAACUUAUACUCGCAUCAGUUUGGCUUUCUGUGGGGAGCAGAAGGAAACACGAUUCAGAGAAGGGAAAGCCUGGAAAAAUAACUCACUUGUGGGAAAUGGGACGCGUGAAG